rnacentral:lncRNA from 1 species
UUUCAUCUUCAAAUGAUUAUCUUUCAAAUCGCCCAUUUAUUUUACAUCGCCACCCAUCUGAUCCUUUGAAUUGAUGUUGAGAUUUUCAUACCAAAUUUGAAGACUUUCGACUUCAUCCAAAUGAAUUUUCUCUUGUUUCGAAUGCUCAAUGUCCAUUGAAUUCAUGUUGGAACUCUCAAGCUUUUCCAACUGCAUUUUAACAUACUCGUAAUUUUCUUCUAACUCCUUAGUCUUUUUCACCAAUCACGGAAGAAUAAACAAAGAUCUUUCGUCAACUCUUUCCUUGUCUCUCCGUAAAAAAAUUUGCAAUUCAUGGCUUCAUAGUGAGGACAAGACCAAAAUCUUUUUCUCGGAUUGCGAUCUGACCAAGAGGUCUGCAUUUGUAAUAUGAUUUCAUGCUUGCAUCGCACUUCAACAUUGAUCAUCGAACCAUUCUCUUCCAUACACAACUUAUUCAAC